rnacentral:lncRNA from 1 species
GAGUGAGGACAAUGAACAACGAGAGAACAUAUUCCAUACCCAUUGUCUAGUUAAUGAUAAAAUAUGUAGUAUGACAAUCGAUGGGGAAGUUAUGCCAAUGUGGUCAGCCCUUUACUCGUGGAGAGAUCAAGGUUAAUAUUCACCAAGCACCCUAACCUUUAACAAUUACAAUGAUUGCAUGAAUGUGGCAAAGUCAAAGUUACAAAGUAAGUCAUGCU